AUGAUUCAUGCUAUCAAUGAAAUUCAACAUCGAAAGAUCUUUUAACCAGCUUUUAUACAUAUUCUUUGUCAACCAUAGGGUUACUGGUUUCUUGUCCUUCCGAGAGUAGUCUUGUUGAGAACCAUGAUGGUUCAUUGGUAUCCACAAUCCAGUGACUUUAUUAACUCGGCCUGUUGGCAUCUUUGUCCUUCACAGAGUAGUUAUUUGGAGGAUUAAGGUUGUUUAUACUCCUAUACUCCUUUGUUGCA
rnacentral:lncRNA from 1 species